UACAGAGGUCUCAAGCGUUGUUCGGAUUCAUUGGGCGUAAAGGGUGCGUAGGCGGCGCGGUAAGUCGGGUGUGAAAUCUUGGAGCUUAACUCCGAAACUGCAUUCGAUACUGCGGUGCUUUGAGGACUGGAGAGGAGACUGGAAUUCAUGGUGUAGCAGUGAAAUGCGUAGAGAUCAUGAGGAAGACCAGUGGCGAAGGCGGGUCUCUGGACAGUUCCUGACACUGAGACACGAAGGCCAGGGGAGCAAACGGG
rnacentral:rRNA from 1 species